rnacentral:lncRNA from 1 species
GUCCACACAGAUACUAGUCAUGCUGGUGUGUUAUAGCUGAGCUGGUUAAACUGUAGUAGGGUCCACAUAGAUACUAGUCAUGCUGGUGUAGUCUAUAGCUGAGCUGGUUAAACUGUAUAGUGGUCCACAUAGAUACUAGUCAUGCUGGUGUGGUUAGCUGAGCUGGUUAAACUGUAGUAGGGUCCACACAGAUACUAGUCAUGCUGGUGGAGUCUAUAGCUGAGCUGGUUAAACUGUAGUAGGGUCCACAUAGAUACUAGUCAUGCUGGUGUAGUCUAUAGCUGAGCUGAGUUAAACUGUAGUAGGG